GUGGGGAAUCUUGCGCAAUGGGCGAAAGCCUGACGCAGCCAUGCCGCGUGAAUGAUGAAGGUCUUAGGAUUGUAAAAUUCUUUCACCGGGGACGAUAAUGACGGUACCCGGAGAAGAAGCUCCGGCUAACUUCGUGCCAGCAGCCGCGGUAAUACGAAGGGGGCUAGCGUUGCUCGGAAUUACUGGGCGUAAAGGGCGCGUAGGCGGACAGCUUAGUCAGAGGUGAAAGCCCAGGGCUCAACCUUGGAAUUGCCUUUGAUACUGGCUGUCUUGAGUUUGGGAGCGGUGAGUGGAACUCCGAGUGUAGAGGUGAAAUUCGUAGAUAUUCGGAAGAACACCAGUGGCGAAGGCGACUCACUGGCCCAAUACUGACGCUGAGGCGCGAAAGCGUGGGGAGCAAACAGGAUUAGAAACCCCAGUAGUCC
rnacentral:rRNA from 1 species